GAUUUGGGAUAUACUAGACCCUCAUUGUAACUCUAGGUAUGAACAACAUAUAAUUUAGUUACAAAGUAGAUCCCUUUAAAGCAGGUUAGCAACUGAAGUUUCAAAAGAACUUCUUUAUUCUAAAGAGGUCUUAUCUCCAGAGUGCUUCACAGCAUAAACCCUGAAGACAUGAGCGUAACACAAAUCUAGUGUGUGUAUAUUACAGACUCAGCCCUUCCACAAUUAUGGAUACUCCCAACAAUAACCACAGAAAACAACUCUUUUAUGAACCAAACACCCCACUGUGUGUAUUAUGACUAACGGGCUCAAUCAGAAAUAAAUUACUUUGUUCACCCUCUUCCUGCAUAGUAGCUUAACAACUAGUUGGUAUGUACACUACCUAC
rnacentral:lncRNA from 1 species